rnacentral:rRNA from 1 species
AUUGAACGCUGGCGGCAGGCCUAACACAUGCAAGUCGAGCGGAGCGGGGGACGGGUGAGGAAUACCUAGGUAUCUGACUGUGAGUGGGGGAGAACGUUCGGAACUGGGCGCUAAUGCCAAUUACUCUCAGAAGAGGAUCGUUCGGAUUAGCUAGUUGGUGGGGUAAAGGCAUACCAAGGCGACGAGCCGUAACUGGUCUGAGAGGAUGAGCAGUCACACUGGAACUGAGACACGGUCCAGACUCCUACGGGAGGCAGCAGUGGGGAAUAUUGGACAAUGGGCGAAAGCCUGAUCCAGCCAUGCCGCGUGUGUGAUGAAGGUCUUCGGAUUGUAAAGCACUUUAAGUUGGGAGGCGUUACCAACAGAAUAAGCACCGGCUAACUUCGUGCCAGCAGCCGCGGUAAUAC